rnacentral:rRNA from 1 species
CGGCGGACGGGUGAGUAACACGUGGAUAACUACCUAUAAGACUGGGAUAACUUCGGGAAACCGGAGCUAAUACCGGAUAAUAUAUUGAACCGCAUGGUUCAAUGGUGAAAGACGGUUUUGCUGUCACUUAUAGAUGGAUCCGCGCCGCAUUAGCUAGUUGGUAAGGUAACGGCUUACCAAGGCAACGAUGCGUAGCCGACCUGAGAGGGUGAUCGGCCACACUGGAACUGAGACACGGUCCAGACUCCUACGGGAGGCAGCAGGG